rnacentral:rRNA from 1 species
CUGCCUCAGCGUCGGAG